rnacentral:lncRNA from 1 species
AUUUAGCCCUAGGGGCUCUCAGAUUUAGCCCUAGGGGCUCUCGGAUUUAGCCCUAGGGGCUCUCGGACUCUAGCCCAGCUUUUGGGUUCCUUUUUUUUUUUUUUUUUCUGGUGGUUGUGACAACACAUCUGUGGUGUGAUCUUGGAGUUUUCUUUAGGUUUCUUCGCUUCUAGGCUCUUGGAGAUCUUCGAUUAUUUGGAGGUUUGUUAUCAGAUUUAGGCUCUUUGACGAUGUUUUUUUUUUUUUUUUUUUGUUUCCUAGACUAUUUCUGUCUUCAUAAUGUUUGGAGAAUAUUCUAUUGUUAGUUUCAAUGGCAAAAACUAUCUUAGUUGGGAGUUUUAGUUUAAGAUGUUUGUGAAAAGUAAGAAGCAAGACAGAGUCUCUAAGUCAUCUACGGAAUCUGAGUACCGGGCGAUGUCUCUUGCUUGUUCUGAAAUCAUUUGGCUUCGAGGUUUGCUUGCGGAGUUAGAUUUUUCUGAGAUCGAUCCUACACCUCUACAUGCCGAUAAUACAAGUGUUAUUCAGAUCACGACCAAUCCUGUCUAUCAUGAGCGCACAAAGCAUAUUGAAGUGGACUGUCACUCUAUCCGUGAAGCCUUUGAAGCUCGUGUUAUCACUCUUCCACAUAUUUCCACUGACUUACAAAUUGUUGAUAUCUUCACCAAAGCUCUCCCUCGUCAUCGACAUUGCUUGCUAAGUAGCAAAUUGAUGCUUGUUGAUCAACCUGCAUCAAUUUGAGGGGGGCUGUCAAAGGACAGCUUUGCUGUCCACACUUCUUUCCUUAUUUUAACCCACACUUCUUUCCUUAUUUUAGCCUACAAUUGUUUCCUUAUUUCUCCAUUUAUUAUUCUAUACAGUUAGCAUAUAUUAUGUGACAGAUUAUAGUUUAGAUGUAUAGAACUAGAAUCAUGAGGGAAUUUAUUUGCUUUUAUUUGCUUUCCAUGUAUAGCAUCCUUGUAAAGGUAUUCGGCCAUUCACACAAUAUUUUGACAAAUUGCUCAUGCAUGAGCUUUCUGUUGAAUACAGGAGAUGUACUACUCAACAAAAAGGCAGCAGUUCUUGAUUGAUCAAGGUUAUAGCUUUAAGGUACUUGCUUUUAUUAUUUUAUUAUUGAACUUUGCACCUUUUUCCAGACAGAUCACUUUCUGCCAUCGGCGGGGAUAUUGUCACUAUGGCCUAGAGCUAGAUAUACCAUUAAACAUGCCACACUUUUGUUUGUUACACUCUGGAAUGGUUUCCCAGUGUGAUCGGGCAGCGUGGCAUUUGAUGCUUAGCAGUUAAAAUGAAGUUAUAUAAGUUGAGGAAAACUUUUUCUUUCCAUUUUCUGUUAUAUUUAUCUCAUUUUUAAUACCUUAUCCUAUUUAUGAACGCCUUCAAUAAAAUGUGGCAAGAUAUCAAGAAUAGUGAGCCAGCUACAUCUCUGGCUGUUCCUUCAUGAGCUCAACUCCUUUUGCAAUAGUUGUAGUUAUGUGUGUUCUGUAGGAAACUUCCAUGGUCAGGAUGCUAAUGUAUUUACAGUGUUUUGUCUUCCUCUUCUUGGAGGUCAUAAUCGGCACAAUUAUGCUCAUUUUCCCAAUUAUACUGACAGAUAAUAACAAGCUUGCCUCCGCCUGAUUCUGGCGCCGAUCUGAGCUACCACCGCCUGGAUGAGCAACUGGCACUUCUUGGAAAGGUUUCACUUCUAGUGCCCUUUGCACUUCAAGCAUUAUUAACCGAGCUAGAAAUUUCUGAACUGUUUUGGACCACAGGUAUUAAGUGCAGGUGAUGAUGCAGUUGGUCUAGAGCAAUUAGAUGAAGAUGCAGAUGACAUAGCACUCCAAAAAGCUCGUCGAUCUGUGGGAUCCAUGAGUGCCAUGUCUGGUGCUAGUGGGAUGGUUUACAUGGAAUACAAGUAUGGGUAUCCCUUCGUGUCCUGCUUCACUUUUUUAAAUUCAACACGGAAAAAUCAGUCUACCACUCUUUCAUAUGGCUCUUAACUUGCAUGGUGUUUACUCUACUUUUCCUUUACUGCAGUACUGGACGCAACAAACAUGGUGGGCAGGGCCAGAUCAAGGGUAAGCCCAAGGAUCCAUCCAAGAGACAUCAUUUAUUCAAGAGACGCUUUGGCUGAGAGAAAUAUGACUAAAGAACCAUCCACAAUGAUGGGCUCCCUUUUAGUAAUAAUAUAUGAUGCCAAGAUGAGUAGGCUUUUUGUAUAUUUCUCAAAACAGAGUGCCUGUGUUGAGUCUACCACCCCUUGAAACAAACAGAUCACCAGAGAACCACGAAUCCAGUGCUCCUUAAGAAGAGAGGUGCUGCAUGGGAAACUGGUUUUAUAUAAAUUUUGUUUUGAUUGGAAUUGCAUUGUUUUGCUGACAAAUACCUCUGGUUUAAACCUAUGUGAACGUGGAGAUUUUUUUUUUCCAAAAAAACAAAAAAAAGAAAGAAAGAAAGAAAGAAAAGAAAAUUGGACUGGUUGUGCAGAAAGUAGAUUGAUUCUGAACCAAUAUUUUCAGGUGAUUAUCCUAUGUUGAAUCUUCCCAAUGUGUGUUUUCAAAUUUUAAUAAAUAUUUUAGUGUUAGCAACAAAAUAGAAAUAUAGCUUAAUCAUUCAACAGGGUCUACGAGGAAAGCAGCGUUGUGCUGGAUUUUUCUAUUUUGAAUGUUCUCUCCCUUCUCUCGUUUAGUUAUCUUUCUAGGGGGUAAAUGUUUUGAAAUUUCUGGUUGGAAGGGUUUGUGGUUCUUUCAAAAUUUUUAUUUGAAUGGGGCAAAAAUUUGAUUAACUAGAAGAGGGAGGCCCUCACAGCCAAAGUCAACUUUCCUCAUCAAGACAGAGUCGGUCCCAGCUGAAACUCUGGAAAGGAGUCAUAAGGGUUUCUCCGUUUGUCUUCUUAUUUUCAUAAGCAAUGAUGUUUGGUUGGUGAGAAACCUUAUGUGAAAACAGCACUAAAUGGUAGCUAACUGGUUGUGAGAGGUAAAACGAGAAACAGACCCGGUAGCUCAGUAACUUUCUACAAAAUCAAACACUUUUCAUAGUGUCACUGGGAGAGUCUGCUCCACUAAAGGGAUGUAGUAGUUGGUAGAGUGGGAAAGUGGAAGAAGUGAUUGGAGAAAAACAUAUGGUUAUAAAUUAAACCCAGGCGGCUCUGUGCUUCUUUAGAAAUAUGUCACAAGCAGUGCUGAAUGGUGAUGGGAAAGCCUCAACUCUGUGUUUGGUAUUGAAUUUGAAGCUGUCUGAAGCGCAGCCACAUGAAGCAUGCACCAAGCUGUCACCAUCCUGAAGUUGGUGAAAGACCCCACUAACAACACAACUUGAAGAACUUUCCCAGAGAGAGCAAGAGUUGAUGGAACCCUUUUUGGAUUCUUCACACGUUGGAGGAAUCUUUUUCUUUUUUCUUUUUCCAUUGCAAAGGACCUAGGUACUUACUAGCAUUUUGACUGCUUUUGCAACAUUCCUUGGUGCCUUUAGGUCUUAUAAAUUACAGUUGAUUAUCAAUGCCCUCCUAAGAAAGAGUGUAAUUACACCUAUUGCUCACAGAAAGAAAAGGAAAAGCCCACUUCCAGCAAGGCAAAAGAUUCACUUAAUCAACUCAAAAGCACUAGGCUGAGAGAGAGCACAAAGCAAAUUACAACACUUUCUGCUUUAGUAUACAUGUACAUCGUCCAUAUCAGUAAGUAGUGGAGACAGGAGAGAAUAAAAAAUUGUUUGCAGCAAAGGAGGACUAAGUGCACAAAUCAUAACAAAGUCUUGAAUGCAAUUGCUAUACUAUAUUGUUCUAAUAGAACCCUCUUGUGGUUUAGUCAAACACAAGCCAUCAGUGGCCUCAAGAAAAAAAAAUGAACAAUGCCCAGAAGCAAUCCAACUCAACCUGUACCAUGAUCAGUUUUCUGAAAUGAAUUUGGAAUGGUUUUAAGACCAAGUUCCUAUUUUCACGGUAAAGCAAUAUUGUUAAUGUCUUGGUUAACUGAUUCUAAAUCUCAGUUCCUGGUAGGUGUUAAAUGACAACUAAGGCGAAUUCUGAAUGCUUGUGAGGGUUCCUUUUCCUGAUUUUCUUUUCGUAAAGAUUCUGUUUCCUUUUAUCAAAAGUUUCAUCAUUGAUGGGCAUUUGGAUUCUCCCUGUCAACUGUAGACAAUAUUACAAAAAAAAUAAGCCGGUCCACUAGAUAAUCAUAUUCCAUUCGUGCACACCUAAGCUUAUAAUAUGAAUUUCUGCAUAUUAUUGCAAGACAAGUCAUAGGAGCCCUUUUCUUGGACUGGACAAAAGGACAACACAAUUCUCUCUACUUUCCGAUCACUCAUUUCCAUCUCAUAGUCUUCUUGCCCUGAUAAAAGCUAGGGCAUCUUAGAAUAACAAGCUUAUGGGCUAAUCAUCUCAUAAUCUAUAGCAGUGCAGUGAUAGGGCAUUGAAGUAGAGUUUUUAAGAACUAAUGCUUCUUAGAUUGUGCUUAGUCAAAAGUGAGUCUCUGGAAUCAUUGUUAGUUGGGUGCAUGCUGUUGAUCCAUUUUAAUAAGCAUUCUUUUGCUUUCUGCUCCCUCCAUUAAGUCAGUUCCCCAUCUCUUUCCAUCUCUCACUUCACACACGCACACGCAUACAUUUGAUUAUCACAACAGAAAAGAUUGUUUCCAGCAAUCUACCAACCAUGAAUGAUCGAAUUUGUGGCCAGGAAAAGCCUAUAGGGGCCUUGGAUCAACAGUAUGUCUUUGUCUCUACUUUUGUGGCUUAUUUGGAUGCAUGCACAUGGUGUUUCUAUGUGGUUUCACUGAUAGCAUAGGCUGCAGUACAUCUAAACAUGGAAGCUAGUCUUUCAGGGGGUCCCAUCAGUAAAAAAUCUUGAUAUCUUUCUGUAAAAGGAAGCUGGUCAAAUGAUAUAUAAAAAUGGUUAGUUGAAGAUGCUAAGAAUUGAUGAGGGUUAUGACCUGAGAAUUUAUUAGUGAGAUACAAGCUUUACAAUCAAAGCAUCUCUUUCUAUUGCCUAAUAUAAUAAACCAUUCCACCAUCACUUGCUUGCCCAGACUCAACAAAGGAAAUGCUGGAAUGGUCCCAAAAACUAUCCUAUUGUGUUCUAAAUCUUCAAGGUGUUAGCCAGUUUAAUAAGAUUCGAGAUCCGACAGUGUGAAUAUUAAGCUUGUUUCCUUUUGUGGACAAUGCCCGUAAACUGGGUCGGUUCUUUCACUUGGAUUUCAAAUCAUAUUUGGCUACUCCAACUGUUACAAUAUAACGUAUAGGUUUGCUUUCGGUAUAAAACAAGAUGCUCAUCAACAACACUUUGAUUUUAAAGUUCUUAUCAUACUAACUGGGGAAAAAGAUAUUCCCCAUGUUGGCAAGAUGGGGUUUGUGUCAUUCACACUUCUUCAACACCUGUUGCUUCUUCACAAGUUUUAUCAUUGGGGCUAAAGACUUGACCAAACCAGAAAAUGAUUGAAGCAGAAUUGGGUAUUGGCUAUCCUCUAGCCUUGGAAAUUCCUUGACUGGUCUUGAUUCGAUACAUAACACCAACCUCCAACCCCCACACCUAUAUAAAAAACUGAUAAAAAUUCUUCUAAUGGAAAACCAAGGUCCCACUCUCUUCCUUUGUUGUCUUAAAGAUAUGGAAAACAAUUAAUUCUUUUCUGCCUUUAUGAUUUCCCCAAAUUUGGUCGUGCCCAAGAAAACCUUAUAGAGCUUCUUACAGUUAAACAACAAAUUGAACAUGAUUAUAUGUACUGGACCCCACCAGAGCAUCUCCAUAGUGCAGCAUCAUGCGUUAUGGUUGCCAAGUGUCGUGCUUUCUUUCAACUUAAUCGAUUACAACAAUGACUAUGAGAAGAAAAAGUGUAACUUCACUAGUGUUGGGCUCAGGUGCAUUGUGUUUGUGGAAAACCUGAUUCAUAUGUUUGUUAGGUGCUUCAUGUUCGUGCAAAACUUGAUUCACCGAGCAGCUACUGAAGUUGUUUCUAAGGGAAACCAGAAAAAAAACAUCCUGCAGAUUAAAACAAACAAGCCUCAACUUCCUUUUUUUGAGGCCCUAAGCAGUAAGGACUUCAAAUGCGGCCUGAUUUGUCUCUUUCAUACACCUAUGAGAUGUCCCUUUUAGCAAAAGAAGCUGUAACUUCAUCAGAGUAUUCUGUUUAUCUCCAAAGAGACUUUUAUACCCAUAAGAAUCUUGGUGGGACAUUACUAUAUUUUUUUUAACAUUGUUGGCAGACAAUGGCUUCACUAGGGCCUCUCUGGGAAGGCCCUUCCUGAAAUGAGAGAAGUCUGGCCUUGUCUAAGAGAAUUUAACAUAUCGGCAACUACCAUGUCUGUAGGACAUAGUCUUGAACUCCAACAUGCAUACUUAGUCUAAUAAAUUAGACUCCUGCAUCCCAAUUUGUAAAAAACAUUAAAGAACUAGAUGUUUAAUUCUCAAGGACAUCCAUAACCAUCCUGUUAUCUAAAGAUUUGGAAGCAGCCCUUGAACAUAGCUACUUUAUUUGUCAAAUACAUCCAGUCAUUUGAUGAUUUCUGAGCUGCCCUUCAACAUGACCUUCCCUAAAUCUUAGGUACUUCAUGUACCAGCAAAUUUCAUACUUCCAGCUUUUCAAAAAUAAAAUAACUCUUGAGUUAAACUAAAGAAGAAUUACAUUUUCAAAGAGAGUAUAUGGACGAUACAAGUUGAAUGUUUUUGUCGUGUCUUGAUAGGCGACAGUGCCAAUACAAGAGUGAACUAAGGAUUAAUGCAUAGUACAGAUAUGGUAAUUAGAAUCGCCGUACACAAACAAAGGUUCGCGAUAGACCUUAUACAGACUGCACACGCCAAGCAAUUUUGUCGCAUAUAGCUUGAAGUGAGACCUAAGCAAAUGCUAAAUGCAUCAGUGAUCUUACAUCCUACAACUAGCUGGUUACACAUAAAUGGUGUACAACAUUUUUGUUGCGUGCCAAUUUGCAACCAAUAACAAUGCAGUACACAGUAAUGAGAACCAACCAGAAACUACCAGCUAAUGAACAACACUGAGCAACUAAAGAUAACCAGAGUAACGCUUCCCACAAUUAUCAGGCAACAGGAGCUACUGUGAACCUUGUUCUUACUACCAUAUGCAAAUAACAUAAUCUUAGUCACUUCAAUGGAAUUAGGCCAAUUAGUAUGUUGGUAAUUUUUUCUGUGGAGCUCCAUUGAUAUAACCACAUGAUAUGCCAGAUGAGGUAAAAGAUUUAUAUCAUAACAAAGUCAUAAUUGAUUGUAUCAUUUACAAACUAGAGAAUGAAAAUUGAGCCAAAAAGAAAAGAAAAAGACAAGAGCGCAAAAGCUACAUUUGCCUGAAACAUUUGGAAAAGGCUUCUAUCUAAUGGAGACAACUACUAUGUACCCAUAUGUUGGUGGUUUAUUCAAGUACCUCUCUACUGAAAAAGAGGAUUGUGUGGGCUCAUUUUUCGGAUCUAUACAUCCCAAGAAAGCUUCUCCUGAAAAGGCUUGGACUACCCAAAGCCAUAGUACUGAAAUGGGGUGGAGCCAUAGCUGUUGUACAAGGGUCCUCCUCGCACUGCUCGUCCACCAUAUCCUCCUUCAUGGAAAUCAUGAGCCUGCACAUACAAAUCCAAACCUCAUUACUGAGUCAUAAAUUAAAUUUUCUGUGUCUCUUGUCCUGUUUCUCAGGUCGGUUGGUGCUCAUGUAAGCAGGGAACAACUCCUAUUAAUUGACUAUCAACAUUUCACUUGUAUAAGCACCAACUUUUAUUCAUAUAUUGAGCGAGAAAGUCAAUGUUGAUGCUUUUCAAGGUAACAAAAGUGCUUUCAAUUUCGAGAGUAAAAUUGAGAAUUACCCAUGGCUGUUGCUCGUAUUCGUAGGCAUUGAAACAUUCAGCCUUGGGAGUUUCUUCAAUUUCAUCAUUGCGUGCAAACCUGCCACGUACUCGAGGGCGACUGUCUGCUAGUGUUUUUCGACAUGCAUACUAACGAUCACAUUUUCAGAUUAGUGAUAGAGUGAUGGAGAGCAUGAAUUUGAUUGAUUGAAUGAACUGUGAUCAAGAAAGUUACCUUGAUUGUCUUGUUGAAAUUCCUCUGUGUGCGCUUGGCUCUGUACUUGUCAAUCCUCUCCUUCCUCUCUUCAGCACUGUAACGCCCCACCCUGAAGCUGGCCGCAUCCGGUGAGAAUUGCCUGUGGUUGGUCUGUGUGGGAGACAGUGAAAUUUUAUAUGAUAUUGGAGUUUUUAUUUAUUUCAAGACUUCAUUUUCUCGGAAAAAUGAGAGAAAAGGAAAAUGUGUGAGAAACGGUGUUUUCGUUAAUUUAUUUUCUAUUUCUGUCAUAUUCCUGAGAGUAAAAAAGGUGGGAGGAAAGGUAAAACAGAUAAGAAACGAACUUGUAAGUCUCCAGCGCUACAAACCCGUCUCAUGUGGCCGUUGAAAAAGAGGUUUUCCGGCGAGCGGAUGAUUGGAUUCUGGAAAUUGGGAGACCCCGGCGGAGCAUUGAAGCCAGGCUGAAACAAAAACCCACGUCUCCCGUCGAACGAGUGGCUGCUAAAGCUCCUCUGCAUCAUCCUCGCUGCACUCUCAUCACCGCCAUAGCUGUGAGCGCCGAAAACAGGAUUGUAAAAACACUCCUCCAAACUCACCCCACGUUGCUCUGGUUUCACAGCAUCCAAACCAGAAAGCCCCACAAACCCGCUCGCCAAACCCGUCCCAUUCUCCACCACCGCCAAAUGGGUGCUCCGGCGAAGCGAGAGGCUCUCCAUUUCCCGACUAGGCGGCGACGAAUGCAGCAUCGGAACAGACGGAACAGCCUGCUCCACCACCUGGGCCUCAGCCUCAACCUCAACCUCAUCCUCUGGCUUCUCCUUCACUGGGUCAUCCUGAAUUGCUUGGAGGAAGUCGAGAGGCGAGUCGGAGAAGGGAGAGAAGGCGUCGGACAGGAACUGGAGGUCGACGUCGAUAUCAGAUGAAACGACAUCGUCGAUUAGGAAGAGAUCAGAAGCCAUUGGAGUUCAAUUCUUAACGGAAAAAGAUAAGAAAACACUAGACAGAGCAGAAGAAGCUUGUCAAUACAUAUAUAUUUCUUCCUCUGCUUCCUGUAUUUGCAUGCUUCAAUUCAAUAUGGUUACGAAACAGACACAGGUAAGCAAAUGAGGACACUUGGGUUCGUGGUUUAUUCAAUCACUCCUCAAAUGGACUCUUUCUCAGUACAAACAAAAGCCAUUUUCCAUUUUCUCUUUUCUCGGUUUUCUUUCUCUCUCCUCAAGAGAGAGCGAGAGACCCACGACCACGAGUGAGCAGACCAGUCCACUUCUGCUGAGAUAUAUGGCGAGCAUGGCAACUUUUCAGUGGGGCCCUCUACUUCACUUAUUUCCGAAGUGGCAUAAGAGUUUCGUGUUUUUUCCUUUUUCAGCCCCGUUGACCGCAUUACUUUUUCACUCUUGCCCUGCCUUCUCGGCCACUUUUCAAAAACAUUAAAAUUCUCUCCGUGUUCGUCUUCUUCAAAAGUCCAAAAGUCUUCUCAUUUCUGAGGUCGUCGGGGUAUCGAAAUCUAGGGCUUUUUAUUGGGGCAAUUGUAAUUGUGAGGUAAGGUGAGGAGAGGAGAGAAGCAGGAAUCCUACGAACAUGGCGUCGCAGGAGUAUUUGGACAAGAUGCAGGGGCGCCAGAAUUUUCGGAAUCUCUGGCACACCGAUCUCAUGGGCACAAUUCAAGCCGACACUCGUUGUAAGCUCUUGCUCCGUGUCUCUAAUUAUAGGUUCAUUCUCUGAUUGUUUUUUUUUUUUUUUCUCUUUUUUCUUUUUGGGUUUUUGUUCUUUUUGUCUAUCUACUCAACUGUUCUCUGCUUUGUCUGAUCGCUUGUUUGUGUUUUGUGGGUGUUUAUCUGCAGAUUGCUGCUUUGCCUUUUGGUGGUGAGUACUUGGAUCUGUUGUGUAUUUCAGGUUUUCUGUGAUUCAGAUCUGAUUUUGCUUUUAUUUUGGUGUUCUAAUUUGUCUUUCGUAUCAUGAUUGUUGUUGUGAGGCUAUGUUUUAUUGCUUAGGGUGACACGGGAUUUCUCAACUGUAGAGACUUAGAGCUAGCAAUUAAUGGAAGAAAGAAAACAAUGAUUGAGCACAGUAGGCUGAGAUUUAGGUGGAAAGCCUUCUUAGAGGUGGUCAAAUUGAUUAAUUGAUUAACAUUGAAGUGUGUGAGAGGUUUUCUUGGGUCUAAACUUGAGAACGAGAAAACAGACAAACACAUGGUUCCCCGGUCGAGAAAUGAACCUCACUUUUUUAGAACUUACAUAAAUCUCUGAAGCUUGCUUAGAGAAAAGUACAGGUCUGAACUACAAUUGCUUUGACACAGGGAACACUUUUGAAGGUUAGAAUUUUGUUUCUUAUGUCUUCUUCAUCAACUCAAUCAACCCUAGAUUAAUUUCUUCUCCAGACAGAAACAAUCCCAACCAUUGUUGUGAGGAAACAUUGUGAAAUCCAAUUUCUUAUUAUUUCUUUAUUAAAUAAAUAAGUAUGACCACCCUCUGUAAUACCUUGGAUCCAAUAAAUAAAUAAAUAACAAAGACCACUGUCUGUAAUACCUUUGACUUAUGGUAGAAUGGCCCCCGUUCUGAAUAAAUAUUGUAGAACACUGUUCUGAUUAGCCUAUGUCUUUAUCUUCAUCAGUUGGUUUUUGAAGGCAUUUUGGCUGCAAUGGGCAUUGCAGAGAUAGCCAUGCUGGCUAUCCGUCAAUUCCUCAUUGACUACUGUGGUUUAGCGACCAAUAAAUAUGACUCCCUAGAACUGCAACAACAGGUAUAGCAGAGAAAAGGAAAAUGAGGGUGGGUUGGCUGGGUUUGGUUUUGGAACUUGAAGUUCCUAAAUAAAGCACUACUGGGGAUAUGGUUGCAGAGGUUUGAGGUGGAAGGGAACAGCCUCUAGAGAUGUAUAGUGGUGGAUAUGUUUGGGGAGGGCAUAGGGGUUGGCAUUCAGGAAUGUCUGUGAAGAAGGAAGCCAUAGUUGCAGAUUACAGGCAGUGGUCAGAGACAGGGUACUGGAAUAUUAGGUUCAAAAAAAACUUCCAUGACUGAACAAGAGGGAGUUCGUUCCUUCUUAGAGCAUGUUUACAGAGCGAAGAUUGAGGGGGAUAAAGAUGAUCCUAUUGCUUGGACAACUUCUAAAGGUGGGAAUUUUAAAAGAACUUUCUUUAGGGCUCUCUAAAUAAAUUGAGUAGGUUUCAGAUUUUCAGAAAACCAGUUUUGGGGGGACUUGGGUUCCAUUAGAAGUAGCUUUCCUUUUUUGGAUGGUCAACUUAUUUAGAGAGGGUUGAUCAUAGGUAAUUGAAGUUCUAUUUGCAAGCUAGAUGAAUAGAUGUUCAACUAUUUAUUGAUACAUUGUUUAGUUGCACGAGGGUCAUGGUCUAUGACUCUAUAUUGUUAUAGCAUUUUUCUUUCUUUUAUGUGUAUGUGUGUGUUUGUUGGUUGGGUUAUUCCAAGGAUGAUGAAGGAGGUACUAUCAAGUUGGUUUGGCAGGUUCAGCAGUAGAGGUAGAAAGAAGUGGUGGAAAACCUCUGCUAGAUGUUUGGGUUGAUGUUCAUGGAAAGCGCGGAAUAUGCAAAUUCUUUAAGGGACUGAACUUUUGAGUUUUGGAAAAGAAAAUUGAAGGAAGUGAUGCUGUGUUUCUUGUCUGUGUGAAUGAAUGAUUAGGCUAUAGAGCAAAGUAGGGUUUUGAUUUGAUUUUAUUGAUACUUUGGUCCCCAGAUGAGUUAUAGGCUGCUUAUACUUCCUGUGUACUUGGAUGUGCCCUUUUUGGUGUUUUUCUUUCUUACCUACAAAAAAGCAAUAGGCGUGUGCUAGAACUUUAGGUUUCAGUGGAGAGUGCACUGUUAGUAGAACAGAUAUUUUCAAAGUAAAGUGAUAUCUUUUCAAAGUACUGUGAUAUCUCUUCUCACAUCAGGGUGCCACUGAUCAAAUCUGCUGUGUAGAUUGUAAAAUAUUGCAGUGGAGCAUGGGCAAGAAUUGAGUGCUCAAGGAAGCAGCUUUACUUGCAAAAACUUCCGAAGUCUUGUACUUGCAAAGUUAAGAGUGGAUUGGUUAAAUGGGAUAGAGGAUACCCACAUGCUGCCCCAUUCACACAGACAAACAAAAAAUAAUGAAUAAAUAAGAAAGCUAGAUUGUUUUCUUGUUGUUCAUGCAAUUUAUUGUGAUUUUGUCACCACAUUCAGUUUUGUUUUAUCAAGUAUUGAAAUUAUUUUCAUACUUCAAUGUAUUUCUGUUGUGUUUUCAAAAUGUUUAUUUUUGCUGAUCAGAGCUCACUGCCACGAUUAAACUUUUAAUCUUGCAUAUAAAAUGUGAAUGGAAGUGUCCUUGUUAUCACUGUUAUGCUUAUUGUUAGUGCUUUAGCCCAAAUAAAUGCAUCGUUGGCCCAAGGAUUAGUAGGGCUUCAGCUCAAAUAACCUUGAUAAACAUUGUUAACCACUAACUAAUAGCUCAAACUUUUAAGUUAAUUAGUAACAUAACAUAGGAUUAGAGCCUUGUUUUGUGGGAGGCCAUGAGUUCAAUCCUCACUGGUGUUUAUUUCCUGAGCUUAUGUGCAAGCCCUAAAGGAAGGUUGUCCGGAUUUAGCUUGGAUAAGCUUGAUAUACAUUGUCAACCUGCUACCUGAUAGUUUAACACUCAUCCAUCCUGAAUAUCGUGCUUCUGAUGAGUGUAGAUCACCCAGCCAAGUUUGUAAUUGAAAAUUUCUUAUAUCUUUUAUUUAACAUCUUUUUUGUAGCUUUAUUUUAUUUUAUUUCUUAAAAUCUAUCAUUUAGUAUUAUCUCUCUCUCUUUCUUUCUCUCAUAUGCCAGGAAAAGGGCUUCUUGACCUUUGUUCCUUGAGAUUUUGGUUACUUUUUAAACUCACAUGCCAUAGACAUGGAUAUGUUUUUCAUCCCUACUUGUCAAAAAAAAAAAAAAAGUUUUUCAUCCCAUUACAAUAGUGUCUAAUUUGCCAAUUUUUCAUUGCAGUGCACCAUGUGUGUCAUACUUGCUUCGCAAAAGAGCUCUUUAUAAUGAUAUGUCAAGGUAAUAGGUGCUCUCCAUUUCCCUUGGAAGUCUUGAUGUCAACUGAAUUGAUGUCGGUGUAAAUAUUGUUUCCUCAUGUCUGCAUAGGUAUGUGUGUUGUGCUGGUUAUAUGCCCUGUAGUGGAAGGUGUGGAGAAAGCCGAUGCCCAGAAUUUUGCCUUUGCACUGAGGUAUGAAAUUUCCUUUUUUGGUUUCCUUUGUUGUUCUCUUAAAUUAACCGUAUCUUAUGUCUCCAGAAAUUCCUUGGUUGAACAUAUCUGCCUAUGCUGUAAUUCAACUGUACUCCUUUUUUCUUCCUUUUUAUUUUUGCCAAAAUUAUUGAGUGAUAAAAAAUUAAUAAAAAGGAAGAGAAACUCCUGUUCUCUUAUCCUCCAGAAAUAUUUUUAUAGCAUCAACAUGAAGAAGGCUAGACCAAGAAAUACAAGCAUUAUCUGAUCUGCAUGCCCAAGAGGCUGUACCGGGGAUUGUAGAAUACACAGACUCCUUUUUCUUUUGAGACCCUCUUCCACAGUGCCAAUAUUUUACAUCUUGUAUAUUAUUUCUGAGAAGCAGGAGGCAGAUGCUAUCAAAAGGGUAGAAUCUUUUCUUUAAAGCUAGAAUAUUAUGUGUGUGUGUGUGUGUGUGUGAGCGCAUGCGCGUUCUCAGUGCGUGCUCUCUGCAUCCUGCUCACUUGUUUCACUUCCUUUCAGGAUUUUAUUGGAAUACUUUAAUCAUCUAUCUGAUUUUCUAAUGGGAUGACAAAAAAAGGGGAGACUGGUUUUAUAAAUUGAGGGAAUUCACACGUUGUUGUCAUUUUCUGACUCAAAAUUUGGCUGCCUUCAAUUACUUGUUUGCUAUCUUUCAUUUAGACAUCAAAGAUAGGCAUUUUGUAAUAAAACCGUGGGGGAGAAUGAAUGGCAUUAUCACAAUCCAUUUUUCAAAUUCAGUUUGUAUAUUUGCUCUCAGUUGUGAUGGAUCAAUGGCAAAUUGUUCUAGUGCACUGUACAUAAUACCAUCUUUUGUUUAGCUCUACUGAUUGUGAGAUUCACAAUUGUCUAGCUCCAUCACCAGAAUUUAGGCUUUUUUGUUUUUGCAUCAUGGAGCAUCUCAUUUGUGAAGACAACAUUAUCUUGAGUUUGACGGUUAGGGAUAAGAAUAUUUUUUAUCAAGGUGUAACAAAUUCAUGGAUUCUUUUAGUCAGUUCACUGAGGCUUUGUCAAUUAUCCUGAUGUGACAAUUAUUCCAAGCUUCUUUUCCACUUUUUGUUUAGGUUCUCCUCUGCUUUGGAAAUUCGGUAGCAUCAACCCGCUUUCUGUUGCAAGAUGAGUUCAACAUACAGACAACAAAAUGUGACAAUUGCAUCAUUGUACGUAUGCUUUCUCAAUGAAUCAAUCAAAACCAAUCUAUACACAUUUGCAUUUGGUUAAUCUUGUUACCUGCUGAUAUGUAGGGUUUCAUGUUCUGCCUCCAACAAAUCGCAUGCAUAUUUUCCAUAGUGGCAAUGAUUGUUGGAAGUGAUGAAAUUCAAGAGGCUUCUCAGUUACUAUCUUGUUUGGCUGAUAUGGUAUAUUGCACGUAAGGCUUUCUUUUCCUACCCUCUAUUGAACUAAUGGCUAAGUGAAUUGUAAGACAUCAUUCUGAUCUUACUGUUUGAUUUUGUUUUUGUAGGGUUUGUGCAUGUAUGCAGGUAAGCAAGAGCUACAACAAACACAUGCAAAUGAGAAACCGUAUCUAUAUCUAAAUAUCACGUCACACUAUGUUAACUGAUGUUCUUGUGGAGUAUUGCAGACCCAACACAAGAUUGAAAUGGACAAGCGAGAUGGCAUGUUUGGACCACAACCCAUGGCCAUACCCCCUUUGCAGCAGAUGUCACGCAUUGAUCAGCCAUUUCCUCCUUCAGUUGGAUAUCCACCUCAGCCUGCAUAUGGGCAGCCCUACGGUUACCCACCUCCUCAGGCUCAUGGCUACCCAGCUGCCAGUUAUCCUCCAAAACCCUAAAUCCAUCAAGGCAUUACCAGAGCAGGCACAUGUGUCUUCAUGAUCCCAAGGUGAGUGACUGGUAUAAUGAUUGGCAUUUUUAUGUGUUGUAGAUUUACAGACAGUUAAUACCGAAAAUUUAAGCCCUAGAGUGUUUUCUGUCUCUGAAUUUUCCUCACCGAUCCCUAUUGGAGCUCGAAUAUUUUUAUUUGCAAAUUCUGUUGAGACAUAAAACCUGAGAGAACCGGGUUUAUGAUCUUAUUCAGUCCCCGGGGAAUUGGGAGCUUUGGGUUUUUUCCAUGCUAGUAAAUGAAGUAUGAUGUUUGUUUGCCGGUGUUCAUUUUCAUAAAUGUUUCUCUUUCUUUCUGGUCCAUAUUUGCAUGGAAAUGGGAUCCUUAAUGCAUAUAUCUACGGGUAAAAGAAAUCUCCAGUCAGAGAAAAGGAAAGUUGGAAGGAAAGAAAAUGGAGUAGAAACUAGGACAAAAGAGAAAAGCGAAAGAAAAUAAUAUAUAUCAUAGUGUAAUGUGCUUUUUGCUAAGUUUAUACUGGAGAAUUUUUGUCCAUUUUUUUUUAUAACAUUUUUCUUACCUUGUUUUAAGGUUUUCCCCCUACUUUUUAUCCAUGGUAUUAAUGUAAAAAUAAUAAUUUUUUUUCAGUGGAAACAGGUGUAUUUUCGUUUUUUUUUUUAAAUUUUAAAAACAGAAAAUAAUAAUAAUUAUAUAAAUUAUGUAAAAUAUAGAAACUCUUAGAGACCUAUGUUAAAAAUAUCAAGGUUUUUAAAAAAUUGAUUAAAAGAAUUUGACUCAAAAAUUUUUAUAAUAUUAAUUUCUUUUUAAAUCCUCGAAAAUGAUUCUUUAAAACACAAUGUAAGCUUAUUUAUUUAUUUUUUUUAUACGAGUUUCUAUUUAUAUACAUAUGUAUAUUAAAAAAAAUAAAAAACAGAAAAAGUAUUUAGAGGAAGUAUUAAUUAUUUUUCCCUUCCUUGGUCCUCAGUGUUAAUAAAUUUUUCUUGGCUGUUUGUUUUUAAUUAUUUUAUUUUAUUUUCUCUUUUACGUAAAAAUGAAUAAUCCAAAAGCCAAUAUAUUUUAAAAUAAUUUUUGACAGAUCCAUUUCUCUAGUAUGGAAUUGAAGAAAAGUGAAAAUUUAAACGAGAAUUCAUAUAGCACAUCUAAAGGGUAAGUGACUCUCAGACUUUCAGAUUAGGCACAUCACUGUCUAAAUUGAAAGAGGAAUGACAUCUUUGAUUACUUAGAACACAUUAUUUUUUAGAAUAAAUUUGGAGACCUUGUUUUGUGAACUGUUCUUCACUUGAAAACAGUUUGUAACUCUUCUUGAAAUUGGAAAAAAAAAAAAAAAUUGUUUUUUAAUUUGAAAAACGUGUUUGACAUAUUUAAUUUUCAUAAACAAUAGUUUUUUUAGAAUUUAUUUAAAAAAUAACUUAUUCUUUUGAAUAAGUUUGAAGAGUUUUUUUGAGAAGUGUUUUUUGAAUUUUGAAAAUAUAUUUGAUAUUUUUUUAUUUAUAAAAAUCAGAUUUUGAGAACUUAUCACAAAAAAUAUGAUAUUUUCUAAAAAUACAUUUUAUUCUCAGUUAUUUUAUUUUAAAAUUAUUUUUUAAAAAUAUAAAAAAUAAAUUGAGAACAUUUCAAAUUUUGAGAACUAUUCUUUGAGAACUUUUUAAAAAAAAAAUUGUUCUUUAUGGUGGAGUUUAAGCAGCAUUUAAAGAAAAUGAAAGACAUAAGUAUAAAGAAGCUUUAUAAAAAAAAAAUCAAAAAAAUAUUUUUUAUAUUGAAAAAUUUAAAUAGAAUUUAUUGUGGAAUAUGUUGCAGCGUAAGCCCAAGGGUUGUGUGUGCAUGUGUGGGAUUGGUGGGGUGGGCCAAAUUUAGGAAGAUGUUGAAAAUGGAGUAGACCUGGUGCAUCCUGCCAUCCACAAAUCAGGUAUUGGUCCAUUAGCAGUAAGUUAAGAACGCAUACCAAACCCCAUCCUCAUUCCUCCUUCAAAUCCCUCAUUUUUUUACCUUAAUCCCAUCUUCACCAUCAUGUCAGUGAUGUCACAAUCUUCAGAAUCUAACCUGCCCAUAAGUUACGUGUUGGACACUUGGAAUAAAUGUAUCAUAGUCAAGCCUCUACAUCUUUAAUUCUUCUCUAUUUCUCGGAUUUUUUUUAUCAAAGUAAGACAGUUUAAAAAAUAAUUCAUAAAUUAUCAUUAUGGAAAAAAAAAAUUUUAAAUUUAUUAUAAUUUUUUGUUAAAUAAGAGACAACGUUAUUUCCUUUUAAAUCGUUUAUUUAGAAAAUGAUUUUAUAUAUUAAAAAAAAAUCAUUUUUUGAAUAUACUAUUUCUAAAAUUCAUUUUUUUUUAAAUUUACACAUUGAAAUUGUCUCACGAUUUCAAAAAAAAAAGUAAGAAGAAAUCGUCUAUUAAAUAAACGAUAAUAAAUUAAUAAUAAAAUUGUUUUUUAUUGACGCAUUUUUCACAUAAAAUUGAUAAUAACUUUUUUUUAAUUACAAAGCAAAAAAAAAAAGAUAAAUAUUAUUUAUCUUAUAAAUAAAAAACGAUAUCAAAUUAAAUUAAUUUUAUUAGUUAUAAUUAAUUGAAUUAAUUUAAAUAAAAAAUUAAAGAUUAAAAAGAAAAUAUUUUUAAAGUUAAUAUCUAAAUGCAAAACAUAAUUUAUAUUUUUAUAAAUAUUAUUAUUGAUAAAUAUCUUAAUAAGAACCAAGAAUUCCUUAUGUUACUCGCUUUCUACUGCGUUUAGUUUUUAAUAAUAAAAAUUAGAAAGAUUAUUCUAAUUUCUAGCAUAAAACAAAAUAUAUUUUUAUUGGGAAUGGGAAUGGGAAUGGGAUUGGGAUUGGGAUUUUCAUUUUCAUUUCUAUUUCUUUGUCUAAUCCCGAUUCCCAACUAAUAAACACAUUUUUGAGCUGCAUCUUGUACCUGAAAAUGGAAAAGGAAUGCACUUCCAAAAAGGAGCUGGUCAAAAAUAAUUUUUUCUUUCAAUCAAUUCCCAUUUUCUGGAAAAAGGGUCCAAAUAUAAUGGGUUGGGUGGGGUCAAGUACUGAUAUGCCCCAAUUGAUGAAAUGGCCACAUUCUGGGUAGAUGCAGUCCAAUCGUGGAACCCACAAGUUGAUUCUUCUAACCUUCUUUUCCCCUGUGCCUUCCACGGUUCGCCGAAAGCUACAAAUACAAAAGAAAAAUUAAUCUAGAAGGAUGAGGUAGGGUCUUGGGGGUUGAUUAUUAUUCAUUUAUAUUGUGAGAAAACAUUAAUUGUGUGGACUCAUGGGUCUGCUGCCACGUGGCUUCUGCAAAUGGGUCUUUGACUGCUAUUUUAUUGUUAUUUAUUGAGGAAAAAAAAAUAGUAUAAAGUAUUAGAAAAUGAUUGAAAAUGGUGGGUAGGGAUUACAUUACAUUACUUUCAAUAAGAAAGGUGUUGCUUUGAAGGAAGGGUACAAGUAGUCCUAUAGGAUAGUGGAGGGAAGCUUCUUUAUCUACCUCCCAAGCCCUAAUAUUUUUUUUUUUUACUAUUUAUUUAUAUUUACCAUAAUCUAUUGUUUUUAAUUCCAGCUCACUUCUCAAUAUCACAUAAAAUGCCCUCCCUCAAUUUCACUUGUGUUAAUCUGAUCAAAUGUAAAGAAUACAAUUACAAGAAAAAUAUAACUAUCAUUUAUAAAAUAAGACUUAAGUGCAAAACUUAAUAAUUCUAUUUUUAUUUGCAAGCCUUAAUAAACUUUUUGUGCGUAUAAUUUUCUUGAGUUUUAGGAUGCAUUAUUUUUAGAAAAUACUUUUAACCUAUACAAAUUUUUAAGUGUUAAAAAUAUUAAAAAUAUUUUCUAAAAUCAUUGUAAAGAGGAUUUAAAUGUGUUAAAAGUUUAAUAUUUUGUUAUUGGAACUUGUAUAAUUUUACAAUAUGAGUGAACCUACAUGGAUGAUAAUGAUUCACUCUAAUUUGAAAACAGAUUAAUACAUAUAUAAACUAAACAGUAAACACUCAAAAUUAAUUUAACUUAAAAAACUACCUUUUCUUGAAAAUGGAUGGAAUUCUAAUUUUACUAUUUAACCAAACUUUCAACUCACUUCUCUUUUGGUUAAAUUAAAUUGCACAGGAUAAUACAGAGACGCCCACAUGCCACCACGUUCUGCUUGUAAAUUGUAAUCACUUCAAGAUAGAGGCGACCAGCGGCGGCCGAUGGCUCAACCACGACCUCCAUGACCGCCAACCACCAUUGACUUUUCCAUCGAAGUCAGCAUACCCAUCCAAACCCAACAAGAAAAUCACCACAAAGUGCUUAAAAGAAAAAAAUAAACCCAAAAUUUUCCAUUCCGGUUGCCGGAAAAUCAUCAAUUUUUUUCAUCCCAUAUAUCAAUUUUUUUUUUGGUAUAUAUACAAUCAACAUCGAAAAAAAAAAAAUUUCUCUGAGAAAAGAAAAGAAAAGAAAAGAAAGGAAAAGGAGAGGAGCUAUAAACCAAGAGGAGAGUAGUCUCCAUAGAAAUCAGGAAGAGCAGAGGCAGCCCAAAGCCUCUCAUUGAAGGCUUCUUGCAUAUCAUCAGGGAUGAAGGGAGUUCUACAAAGCGGACACGUCUUCUGAUCACAGUCCAUCCAACGGUCCAGGCAGCUCCGGUGAAAUAUGUGCCGGCAGUUCGUCAGCCGUCGGAUCUCCUCCUGUCCUUCAAACUCAUACAGACAGACCGCACACUGGUCCGGCGGGUCUCCAGCGCCGGCCCCCACCAGCUCCUCGAACUUCAUCACCGGGAGGAUCUCCCGGAUCAGAACCGCCGACACCGACUGAAAUUCCGGCACCUGGGUCGACCCCUCCGUCCACACAAUGUCCGGUUCCAGAAAAUCGGUGAGACCCAGGAAGCGGAAGAAGUAGGAGAUGAGUUUUCUGAUGAAACCCAGAAGAGAAAGCGUGUGCAGAAGAAGUUUCGGGAGGAGAAGCUCCGUGUAACCCACUGGAAAACCCAUGAUUUUUUUUGGGUAUGCUAUAGCCGGUAGUUGUGAACUUAUGGUGAAUUUGAGGUACGUGUACAGUAGCAGAGAGCAAAGAGGAAGAGAAAGAGAGAAAUCGAGAAAGAGAGGGAGUUGGGGAGAGAGAGAGGAGAGAGGUGGCGUUAUAUAGGAGGAGAAGAGAAAUGGGGUAGUGAAAAAUUGAAAAUGUCAGGAAUGGGCCUAUGGAUUAUGGAGAAUGAGAGUGAAGGGACAUGGUGGUAGCAAGCCUUGUGUGUUGUUCAUGUCACCAUACUCACCUGUCUUAUUCUUUGGCCUCGAGCUUUCACUUAACCUACCCCCUUUUUUCACAAAAAAUGAUUAAUCGUAUAAUUUUUAUUUUGCAUAGGAAAUUAUAUAAAGUUGAAAUAAGAAAAGUUUUAGGGCAUGGACUCAUUAUCUAUACGACUUAUAUUCUUCACCGUUGAAAGCCAAUGAUAAAAUCUACAUAGCAUGAACAUAAAAAAGGUACAAACUAAUGAUAAAAUCUAAGUCCGGAUACAUCAUGAAGGUACAAACAAAUCAAACAAAAUCAAAUUAAAAAAAAAAAUGUGUAAAGUGAAAAUAUAUGACAUAUUGUGAUUAGUUUCAUUUUUUCAUAGGUAUUGAUUCAAUGCUAGAGUGAAAUUCUUGUGUUAAAUAUAGGAAUGGCUUAAGCUGUUUGAACCCAAGACAAAUCACAUUAUGAAAUACAAAAUUUCCACUCGAGACUUUUAAUUAACCAAAUAUUAAUAUCAUAUAUAAAAUUCAUGACUAUAAGACUAAUAGAUGUUUGGAAGUAUCUUUUUUUAUAUAAUGCAGAUGAUGGAUGGGCGGUGGGGAAUGGGAAGAAGCAGGAAAUAUUGUUCAAGUACAUUUGAAGGAAAUCAAAGUAGAUGGCUCGGUGGCUUCUUUUUAAGAAUGUACAGAGAAAAAAGAGUGGUGUAGGGCAAAUUAGGAGGCGAAUCAUAAUGUGACUAUUAGGAAAACCCCAUAAAGGCCUUGUUUGGUACUGGGAAUAAAGCAUACUGUACUUUCAUCAUCAUUAUCACACUAUAAUUUUCAUGAAUCCACUCACAAGUCCACAACCCGAUGGUCCCAUUCGCAUUCAAAAGACUAGUGUCCCAUUUUGUAUAAAAUCUCCUCACAAAUUGAAUCAAAUUCUUCUUUCCAAUUCACCAAAUAAGUUCAGGGUUUUUGUAGGAGUGAAGUGAGAAAUGGGCAAAGGAGUUGAUUGGGAUGAAUGAAUAAUGAGACAAUGGGCCAAAAGAGAAAAAGGGUCACAAGUAUUGAAAUGCCCUAGACAUGAAGUGGGGCUAAUGGCUCCUUCAAUCAUCCCAAAAGGGAAGCCCACAAAGGGAGCCAGACAUCAAAAAAACAACAAAUCCAUGGAAAACAAUAGUUUAGUCAUGGUUAGUGGGUGAUAUUUGGUGCCACGACACAUCAUGUUGUCAUGGUUGCACCUUAAUGGGGGUGCCACUAGUUCUUGGAAUACUUGGAAAAGAAGAAAAAAGGGUUCAUUUCUCUCAUAUAUCCCUCUCAAGGCAGAGUGAUGAUAUCUUGAAACCAUGACAAAGACCCAUCAAAAAUCCCAAAACAACAAGUCCCAAGUAACUAACUUACUUCCUAGUCAUAUAAUUCUUAUCAAAAUUCAGUACAACCACAUAUGCCACGGUGUUCACUUCAUAAUGGAAGAGACUAGUAUUCAUUACGGUAUAAGAUGUUAAAUUUAGAACUCUCUUCUUAGAAUGUGUAAAUAUAGAUCAUUAGAUACCGUGUUUCACUUUAAUCCAUUUCGAUGGAGAUGAUUACGACCCUCAUUCAAUACAGAGAAAGAUGGUCAAAGACUCAAAAGUGAGUUAUGAUAGAGGCAAUAUGUGAGGGGGGUGUGAACCCUGGCCAACCGGCCAAGGAGGAUGGGGGGUGGUGGUGUGAAGAAAAGGGCCAAGGUGGGUGUGGCCACCAACACCAAUGCAGGUGAGAUGGGCAAGCUGCCUCUGACAUGUGUCUGACACAGACACAACACUUUGGACCCACUACUCUCCCUCACCCAAAUAGAGUGGGGGCAACCAACACCUACUUCUCUCCACCCCCUUUCUGCUCUUUUCCUUUGUCUCUUCCUCUGUCCUUCCCUUCCUCCUUUCGACUACUUUCAUGCCCACCAUUACCCCCUCCUUUUUCUUUUUGGGUUUACUAUUAUCCCUGCUUUUCAAAUUUGGGCCAAACCAAAUCUAUUUGUUAAUAGCAGAAACAUGUGUACUCAUACAUCUAAAUGCUGUAGAUUGUUUUUAGUAAACCAAGCAGAAGGAAAAAAAUUAUAUUCUGUAUUUAUCUAAAUAUUUUUAAAAUAAAGUGUUCAAAAGUUUUGGAAAAAGGGUUUUCAAAAGAAACAAUAAACCCCAUGUUUAAUUUUUACGAAAAUUUAUUCUGUAUUUAAUAAAAAUUUCCCAGCAUUAAGAUUCUUUUACAUUAAAAGACCCCCAAUCGAAAAAUGUCUGCCAUCACAUUUGGGAAAAGGUAAAAAAAAAAAUGGAGAAAUGAAAAAUAAGAAAUUUCCUCAAGGAGAACCAACAUGCAUAUCUGAAGUCUAGCUUAGUGGCUUUUGGCUCUAUUAGAAUCAGACUAUGAAUAGGCCAGCCAGCUAAGUCCAACCUUGAUUCUUCCAUAAUCCUAGUCCCUAAAUCACCCCACUUGGACUAUUUAAUUGUCAUUCUCUUCUGAUUUCUGAGCAAUUUUCUGCUUGAUUCCCCUUAAAUUGAUCUCAAGAAGCAUGAUUUGUAGGUGAUUAACUCCAAAAAAUUCUUCACUUUCAAAGCUUAAUUAUCAGAAAUUGCCUGCCAUUAGACCAAACAAAGAAUCACAGCCUGUCUACUCCAAGUAAAAAGAGAUCAAAUUCCUCCCAGCCUUGCCUUUCAGCAGCUGUCUAAUGCCUAAGUAAAAUAAAAUUUACCCAAAUAUAAAAUGGGGAAACCCACUCAAAGCAAACUGCAAGAGGGUUUUGGUGUUUGGAGCCCAAGAAAAUUUACAUGUGAGAGCACGUUAAUCAUCAGUUGUCUGACAAGGCCCAUGUGGCCUUCUCCUCUGUCGUGUCCUUUUCCUCUGUUUUGGGAAAUCCAUUCACUGCUUAAUCAUAUAUGCAAUCUUUUUACUCUCCACUACUUACAUGAUUUCAUCCAGGAUGGUUUUGGCUUUUAUUUGGGUUCAUGAAGUUUCAUAGUAAAUUCAAAGUUCGAGCCAUGGUCAUUUUGCUUUAACAAAUUUAGUAAAUUUAAAGUAGAAAAAGGGUUUUUAAAAGCAAAAAACAUAAAACAAAUAGUGUGCUUAGUAGUUACAAUAAUUGGGUAUCAUCAAAUUAUUGAUUAUAAGUUCAUAAUCCUAGUCUAUUUCAAUUUUUGGUGGAACAAGCCUGAUAAUUUUUUGAUUCGCACCAAAAAAAAAAUUAUAAUAGUUGGAUUUAUUUAAUUGAGUAAGAUUGUUUGACGUCGAUGUACAUUUUAAAAGAAAAAUCAUUCAACCUAAAUUUGUAGCAUUUCAUCUCAUUUUCCUUGUGGGGUAUGUAGAAUAAUGAAUAGAAUAGAUUCCCACAAAAAUAAAAUAAAUUUAGAAAGCAAACAUGUUGUCUAAACCAAGCUGAUCUCUUUCAAUAAACAAACCAAAAGCUGGAUUGAGUGGUGUCAUGAGUUGGGACAAAGGGAGAUUACACACAGUGAUAAACCACCUCAUUUCUCUUAAGUAUUCCAAGUGGGAAGUGAAAGAAGAAGCAUCUACUGAUUUGUCUGAGGAGGAUGAGGAAGCUUUACAGAGAGCUGCUUGGCUGUGAACUCGGCCUCACAACAACUUCACUGUGCUUCCACGUUUUGUUUCCGCAAGCUUUUUACAGCACAUCCCUAAUUUUAUUGGAAUAUUUUGGGAGGAGGGGGACCCCAUUAUUGUUAUUAUUAUUGAAACUCUUUACAACCAUGAAAAUGUUAUCUCCCCCUCUUCAUUUGGACUCUUUCUUUGACUCCUGAUUUGGCCCUUUUUUCUAAGGCUGUCCUCAUCUAACCUUUCUUUUGUAUGUGUUCUAAUCAAUUUUGUUGUGACUCUCCCUCUCUCUCUCUUGAUGUAACAUGCAAGAUGGUUGAUAUGCUCUCAUUGUCACUUCUCUUUCAAGGGUUCCAACCCAACUUUUCCUUUGCUCUGCAGCCUCUCCCAUCAUUCUCUUGGUGUGUUUUCAACUUAGAACAUGCACGUUAUGAUUUGAGUUUGAUGGGUUCUUGAAUUGGAUUUUUUGGUGUGGAACUCGUGUUUGUUGUAAGUUUUCAGGCCGGUUUGAAUUUCAGAAACACAAAGACUUAUCCCAUAUAUAAUUAGUAUUCAAGGAAGGUAAAUUAAGCUUUUUACAAUAUUGGACAUGACUAUCAUUUGAAUUACUUAUCCCUCAAAAAUGGCACUAUUGGCAAUUUUUCUAAAUACUUACAUAAUUUAUAAUAAUAUUAGCAGUUAUUUUGUAAGGUAAAUGGAUACUUCCAUAAUGCUUGGCUUGCUAUCUCCGUGUGGUUGAAGGGUUGAAGCCAGAUGUGAAAAGUGGCUUAUUCCGAACCUAGGGGUUUGGGAGUUGGAAGUCUAGAACGUAGAGGUGUAGG